GAAGAAUUUUGAGCUUGCAGCCGCAUGUCUGCAUUAGAUCAAGAGGACUGUCUAUCAGAUCGAACUUUCAUGUUUGAAUGAGUCAAGAUCUGCAUAUCGAUAUCGUCCUCCUUGCAUUAGAGUCAGUGUUGGAGACCAUCCAUUUUCUGGGACUGGCAUAUACUGACAUCGGUGCCCAAUCCAAUGAUGAACUGCGUGGGAAACAAACAUUUGAAAAGAAAGC